rnacentral:rRNA from 1 species
AACGAACGCUGGCGGCAGGCUUAACACAUGCAAGUCGAGCGCCCCGCAAGGGGAGCGGCAGACGGGUGAGUGACGCGUGGGAAUCUACCCAUCUCUACGGAAUAACGCAUGGAAACGUGUGCUAUACCGUAUACGUCCUUCGGGAGAAAGAUUUAUCGGAGAUGGAUGAGCCCGCGUUGGAUUAGCUAGUUGGUGGGGUAAAGGCCUACCAAGGCGACGAUCCAUAGCUGGUCUGAGAGGAUGAUCAGCCACACUGGGACUGAGACACGGCCCAGACUCCUACGGGAGGCAGCAGUGGGGAAUAUUGGACAAUGGGCGCAAGCCUGAUCCAGCCAUGCCGCGUGAGUGAUGAAGGCCCUAGGGUUGUAAAGCUCUUUCACCGGUGAAGAUAAUGACGGUAACCGGAGAAGAAGCCCCGGCUAACUUCGUGCCAGCAGCCGCAGUAACAC